CCUACGGGUGGCUGCAGUAGGGAAUCUUCCGCAAUGGACGAAAGUCUGACGGAGCAACGCCGUGUGAGUGAAGAAGGUUUUCGGAUCGUAAAACUCUGUUGUCAGAGAAGAACAAGUUGGAGAGUAACUGCUCCAGCCUUGACGGUAUCUGACCAGAAAGCCACGGCUAACUACGUGCCAGCAGCCGCGGUAAUACGUAGGUGGCAAGCGUUGUCCGGAUUUAUUGGGCGUAAAGCGAGCGCAGGCGUGUGAAAGCCCACGGCUCAACCGUGGAAGGUCAUUGGAAACUGGGGAACUUGAGUGCAGAAGAGGAGAGUGGAAUUCCAUGUGUAGCGGUGAAAUGCGUAGAUAUAUGGAGGAACACCAGUGGCGAAGGCGACUCUCUGGUCUGUAACUGACGCUGAGGCUCGAAAGCGUGGGGAGCAAACAGGAUUAGAUACCCGUGUAGUC
rnacentral:rRNA from 1 species